UACGUAGGGCGCAAGCGUUAUCCGGAAUUAUUGGGCGUAAAGAGCUCGUAGGCGGUUUGCGCGUCUGCCGUGAAAGUCCGGGGCUCAACUCCGGAUCUGCGGUGGGUACGGGGCAGACUAGAGUGAUGUAGGGGAGACUGGAAUUCCUGGUGUAGCGGUGAAAUGCGCAGAUAUCAGGAGGAACACCGAUGGCGAAGGCAGGUCUCUGGGCAUUAACUGACGCUGAGGAGCGAAAGCAUGGGGAGCGAACAGG
rnacentral:rRNA from 1 species